rnacentral:lncRNA from 1 species
CGGUGAUUUUUAGGGAACUCAACUGCCAUCCCACUAUUCGCAUGUCUUUGACAGUCUCUCCUUUCUCGUGCGUGAUCUUUGGUGGUAUUCAAAGUUUCAAAUUACUUAUCCUAAAGCAUAUUAUCUUCCUUGUUGACCGAUAAUUCUUUCUUCCUUUUUUCUUCAUUUUGGGGUUGAUUAAUGAUGAUUUACUGCAUUAUGAUGUUUGUUUACUAGAAUACUUUAAAUUUUAGUAUGCAU